GUUUAUUUAUUUGAGAGAGAGAAUGAGCAGUGGGAGAGAGUCAGAAGCAGACUCACAGCUGAUCAGGAAGCCUGAUGUGGGGCUCAAUCCCAGGACCUGGAAAUCAUGACCCGAGCUAAAGGCAGAUACUUAACCAGCUGAGCUACCCAGGCUCUACACUGAUCACUCCACGCUAGUCAAGAAAAUGGAACUUGGAGAGGUUGCGCAGCUUGACUACGGAUGUGCUGGAACCAAAGAGCACCCGUGAAGGACACAAAGUGUGGUACCUCCACGACGUUAGUAAUGCACAAGGGAACGAGGUCUGAUGCCACGAGUCUCCUCUUCGCCUCGGGUCCUGACUGAUGCCGGGCAUGGAGCCACCCUGUCCAUCUUGAGAGGGAAGGAUGGAGGGAUGGACACCAAACAUCUCUGCAAGAUGCAAUCAAGCCGGCUACUGUCAUUUCCUUAUGAUCCGUUUGCUCUGCAGAUAGGGCUCCUCAGCUGUUUGAGGAUAUGGGUGUGGUGGAGAAAAAGACAAAAUAUGUGGUAUUUUUUAUGCAGCUCACAUUACGGUUCAUCUGGAAAAGUCAGUUACUUAGAUAAAGGGAGGAUGUGAGGAAGAUUUCGGACUUGGGAAAUGUGGGUUCUCAUCCCAGCUGUGCAGCCGGCUUGUUGGGGCCUGAGUGACGAGUCCUCUGACCAAGCCCUCUCCCUCCCCAAGACCUCAAGGCCUCGUCCUGGUGUACAGAACCUGACCAGAUUUCCAGGAGCAGCUCUUCCAGCCCCAUCUUUGAAUGGGACCCAUUUCCCCUCCAGCCCUCUGUCAGCCAACGCCCAGCCUGUAAAGCUUUAGACUAGCAAUGAAAAGAGGGUCCCUACCAGCUCCCCGACUUUGACCAUCUUUGAUCUGAAAGACUGGAAAAUUUCCUUCAGACAGAAAAAGUCCUGUGGCACAUACAUUCAUGACCCACACUAAGUUUCUGUUCCUUCUGGGAAAUGUGUGCCUUUUACCAAGUCAGGGCCGUUUUUACUGUAGCCCAUCACGGCACGGUGAUCUACGAACAUGACAAAUGAUUCGUAGCACAAGACUGGGAUCCAGAACUUACAGAUACCUUGUACAGAUCAAUAAGAGGACU